GUGUAGAAGGGAAGAAAAACAAACGAAGAAGAAAAAACCAAACCCAUAAAUUUGGCAGAAAGAAGAACAUAAGAAAUAUCAAACAAUUGUAUACAAAGCCAAAGGAAAAUCAUAAUAAAUUAAUAAAACUAACUGAGAUUUUAGAAUAGAGGGGCAAAAGAUGAUAAUCCCCACUGAAAAGAGGAUAAUUUAGAGAAAUAGCAGUGUCAUUGAGUGUGUUUCUCAGCUUUGCUAAGAAGGCAAAUUGAGCGUGAGUGGGUUACCCAAGACCAAUGGCCCCACCAAGAGAUAUCUCUGAAAUUGUCAAGGAAUUCUAAAGGUUGCUAGUCCAAGAAGAAAAAGCCUAGGUGUGCCCAGCAGUGAGCCGAGUGUGUUACUUGGGUGGUCUUUUAGCCCAUGAGUGCAUUAUGUGAGCCAAGAACAUUAUAAAGGGCAACAACUUCCAGAAUUGGCUGAACAGCAAAUGCUUGGUCCUUGCAAAAAGAGAUAUAGAAAGCAUUGAGAGUGUAUGGCGAGGUUCUAACUAAAGCUAGUAAGGCGUCUAUCGGAGGACAAGAGGCCUUAUUAUGCCAAAUACGCGCACAAAAAAUUCGUUAACUACAGAGAGGUCGAUGCCAAUGACACUGCUUCCCUCGAUGAGCUCUUCCAUUAAGCCUACAAUCGCUCCCUCUAGUAUUCAGCUGAUGAAUUAGCUGUUAAUAAGCUAAAGCAGAUUUGUUACGGUUGAAAGCAAAACAAGAAAAGAAAGAGUCUGUAACCAAAGUGUUUGUUGUUAUGCCCAAAUGGGUAGACUGCUUGCUUUCUUAUGCCUUUUAAAUUUGAGUUUAUACAGUUUCUCUCUUCCCUUUGGAUUUAUUACAAAACAUGUGUUAAAAGGUUUAUAAUUUUUUUCUCAUAAUGGGUUAAGCUUAGUUGAUCAUUGUAGUUUGAUUAAGUUCAGUUUCUUCAUUUGAACUAGUUUAGUCUUGCUGCAUCUUUUUGAUGCUGUAAUUUUGGAUUUUUUUAAGAACAUUCCAUGUUUCAAUUACUGGUGAGCUGCAACAAUUUAUGUAUUGUAUGAUAUGAAUGUUGCUAGUAGUUAUUAUGCAAUAUUAACUUCCACUUCAUUGGAAUGUAGCAGAUGAUAAAUAAAGUUCUUGUUUCAAAAUCUCUUUCA